UUUAAGCAUAUCAAUAAGCGGAGG
rnacentral:rRNA from 3 species